rnacentral:rRNA from 1 species
AGUCGAGCGGACUUUGCCUUCGGGUAAAGUUAGCGGCGGACGGGUGAGUAACACGUGGGUAACCUGCCCAUAAGACCGGGAUAACAUUCGGAAACGAAUGCUAAUACCGGAUACGCGAAACGGUCGCAUGGCCGAAUCGGGAAAGGCGGAGCAAUCUGCCACUUAUGGAUGGACCCGCGGCGCAUUAGCUAGUUGGUGGGGUAACGGCUCACCAAGGCGACGAUGCGUAGCCGACCUGAGAGGGUGAUCGGCCACACUGGGACUGAGACACGGCCCAGACUCCUACGGGAGGCAGCAGUAGGGAAUCUUCCGCAAUGGACGAAAGUCUGACGGAGCAACGCCGCGUGAGUGAUGAAGGUUUUCGGAUCGUAAAGCUCUGUUGCCAGGGAAGAACGCUUGCGAGAGUAACUGCUCGCAAGGUGACGGUACCUGAGAAGAAAGCCCCGGCUAACUACGUGCCAGCAGCCGCGGUAAUACGUAGGGGGCAAGCGUUGUCCGGAAUUAUUGGGCGUAAAGCGCGCGCAGGCGGCCUUGUAAGUCUGUCGUUUAAACUCGGAGCUCAACUUCGAGUCGCGAUGGAAACUGCAAAGCUUGAGUGCAGAAGAGGAAAGUGGAAUUCCACGUGUAGCGGUGAAAUGCGUAGAGAUGUGGAGGAACACCAGUGGCGAAGGCGACUUUCUGGGCUGUAACUGACGCUGAGGCGCGAAAG